AUGAAGAGCACACUUCUGGACGAGAGUUGGCUUCUCUGUCACCCCCGUGCACACGGGCCUUCGACCCCCGUGAACAUGGGACCCCGUGCACACGGCCUCCUGCAACCCCGGUGCGCACGGACUAUACAGAGCCGCGACAUCAACCCCAAGACUACGGCUUCUUCAACACCUUUGGCAUCUUCGCCAAGUGACUUCAAGGCAUCUUCGCCUUCGGAUGUACGGCAUCUUCGCCUACUCCACGAGCUCAAGUCCACUACCUCCACGAGCUACUACGACCUCGACACCGACCACGCGAUUCCUUUCUAUGGGACUCAAGAACCCGAGGAGUAUCUUGAGAGGGAGCGCCUAAUGGACGACUACCUCAAGCAUCAAGUUCCUCCCGAAGAUCAAGUGAAGUGCGCCACAAGUAACUUCCAUGACUACGCAUCGGCAUGGUGGCUUCACACACCUUUGAGGAGCUUCGACAUGACUUGGUCCAAGACAAAGAAAGCGAUGCGGCGAGAGUUCGUGCCUCCAACCUACACGGAACAUCUUCAACGCCAUCUGGAGAACACCAUACAAGGAUUCAACUCCCUCGACGAGUACUUCAAGAGCAUGAAGGAAGCCCUGCGACGAGCCGGUGUGGACGACCCCAUUUGGAUGAAGUUCUACUUCAUGAUGGGAUUGAACAACGACAUCUCCAAGACUAUCUUCAACGACAACUAUGAGUCACUCGAUGACCUAUACAUUGGUGCUCUCAAGGCGGAGCAAUAUCUCAUGAAGGCCAAGUCUACUCGACACCGAGCUCACUUCACAACGACCACGCUUCAAGACGGCGAGAGUGAUGAUGUGCCAUCUUCGGCCUUCAUCCACGGCGAUGACUACGAGAUGGUUGAGCAUGGGAUUUUCCCUUCGACCACGGCUGUAACACCCCGGAUGUAA
rnacentral:rRNA from 1 species